GUCGCCUCCUAAAAGGUAACGGAGGCGCUCAAAGGUUCCCUCAGAAUGGUUGGAAAUCAUUCAUAGAGUGUAAAGGCAUAAGGGAGCUUGACUGCGAGACCUACAAGUCGAGCAGGGUCGAAAGACGGACUUAGUGAUCCGGUGGUUCCGCAUGGAAGGGCCAUCGCUCAACGGAUAAAAGCUACCCCGGGGAUAACAGGCUUAUCUCCCCCAAGAGUUCACAUCGACGGGGAGGUUUGGCACCUCGAUGUCGGCUCAUCGCAUCCUGGGGCUGUAGUCGGUCCCAAGGGUUGGGCUGUUCGCCCAUUAAAGCGGUACGCGAGCUGGGUUCAGAACGUCGUGAGACAGUUCGGUCCCUAUCCGUCGUGGGCGUAGGAAAUUUGAGAGGAGCUGUCCUUAGUACGAGAGGACCGGGAUGGACAUACCUCUGGUGUACCAGUUGUCGUGCCAACGGCAUAGCUGGGUAGCUAUGUGUGGACGGGAUAAGUGCUGA
rnacentral:rRNA from 1 species